CUCCAAAAAACACUUAACAAUAACACACUCUCUCUCAUUUCGAGAAAGUGCAAUAGAAUCCCUCCAACCUAUAAAGAAAACCAACCACACCCCCAUAAUCCUUUGUAGUUGGAAACCAAUUCUUACCCUCCUCUCUUCUCUAUCUUAGCUUCACCCUCCCUUACUUCUCUCUGUUCUCUUUUUUCUCUUUCUCUUCUUAUUAUACACCAAUAAUAAUAAUAAUAUUAAUUAUUGACUUCGAUCAUAUCAUGAUGCAAUGAUAAUAGGCUUUUUCUGUUUUCCCUCUUCUUCUUCAUCAUCAUCAUCAUCUCUAUGUCAUAGCAAUAAUAGUACGUACUACCUUUAGUUUCCUCCUACUAACCAAAGAUAUAUUUAUAUAUAGAAAUAAAUAGAAAGAUGACAAAAUUGCAUGUGGUGGGAAGUAGUUGUUUGUUUCCAAGGUUGUUCCUAGUGGUGGGGCUUGUUUGUCUUGUGGUUGUUGGGAGCAGCUUAGCAACUAGUAGAAAACUAACUACACAACAUCACCAAGAAGAAGAAGAAGAAGGACUCCACCAUAAUAAUGGUCAAGUAGUAUUCUCUGCUGCUCGAGAUAAUAAACAACUGGACGAUUUCAACUACAUGAGCAAAAGAAGAGUCCCCAAUGGACCAGAUCCAAUUCAUAACAGGAGAGCUGGAAACUCCGGUAGACCUCCUGGCCAAGCUUAAUUAUUAUUUAUUAAUGAACUCUGAAUUUCGACAAGCUUCGGUGAAGGGACAAGAUAUGUUAGCCAUGUACACAAUUCUGAGAACUGGGACUGAAUAUAUAUAUGUAUAAUAUGCUUGUGUGUAUAUAUAUUCCUGAGCUUCUUGGUAUUCCAGCAUGCAUGGAAAUUAAAGGGCUAAUCUCAAUUGCGGAAAUUUAUUUACUUUGUUUAUUAUGGGAAGAGUUGAUUUAGAAGGAAAAGAAAAAGGAAUGAAGCUUGUCCCACAGAAAAUAAGCUCAAAAGAAAGUUGAUUAUUAUGAUCAGUUAAGUGAUGAGAGUGUUUACAAUGUUUGUUUCUUGAACUUAUCUUGUGAUUGGGUUUAGCGGGAUGGAAAUUAAAAGCUAGGCAAGAGUGUCACAAAUUCAAUGAAAUCAGUGUCGUAGUACUUGCAUGUAAAGCAAUUACCUUUUUUGAAUUUAGAAAGAAAUGGUAUUUAGACAUUAAAAAUGGACAUAAUUUUGUGUAAA